AGAAUUUUAUGAGAGUAGGUUGAUUUCUAGAUCCAAGAUUAAUUUGGAUAUCAAAGAGGACAGCCAGUCUGCCUUUUAAUUUGUCAGCGCAUGACAUUUUUCUCUACUCCUAUCCUUUUCAUGUUGCAUUGUGGACCAUGACUUUCAAAACUGUAGAAACUUUUGCAUGAUGAAACAAACAUGUACACAUUCACUUGGAUGUCAAGAUGUAGGCACUGAAAGAGGAAGAGAUGUGAUUCUCAUUGGGUUACUGAAACAACCACUUGCAUCCACCAAACAAACUAAAGAAACAUUGAAGUAAGAUUUAAUCAAUCUCUAUGUUUCCUUAUGAAGAUCGAUAGGAUUCUGAUGGCAACAAUUUAAGAUUGGUAGAGUACUGAAGGCAACAACUACAUGAUAAACAGUCAAUUUAAGCAUCAAUUUGGUUUAUGUUCCUACAUACAGGUCUACAUGCAUGUUGAUUUGAGAAAAAUAGCAGCCCUAAGAGACAUGAUGCUCAAACUCAUGAAGACAUAGAAAGGCAGCUGGACAUCAAUUAAUUAUCCGGGAGUGACAAAAACUGAAUAAUUCAUGCUUAUUUCUGAAAGAUGUACAAACCUCUGUUGAAGACAGUUUUCAUGUGGCAAAAUGAUGGGUUGAAAGUUGCAUGUUGUACUACUCUUGUAGGCAAAGUUGUACUGAGACAAAUCAUUCUGGUCAUCAUUUUCUUCAGGAUGAUGAGAAAGGCAGCUAUCUUUAUCUUGCAUGUUCAGCUUUUGUCAAGUGAUAGCUGCAAACCCAAAUGUAGAUCAGGUGUGACAAAUCUUGCUUGCAUCUGCCAAAAUGGUGAGACAUGAUUCUUUUCCUGAGUUCCAUUUGUGUUAAAAGUUUUCUUCUUUGAUUGCAGAAUAUCAAAUUUAUAUUUCAAUCCAUCUGUGUAUAUUCACUGAUUGCUCAUAGGAAGUCUGAACCAUCAGCUGCUCUUGAUCUGUGUUCAGAUAUGCCCAUCUAUAUCUCAACAUUUAGAGAUGGGAUAACCCUAAUGAAUUCUUCUGCAUUCCUUCUUCCUCUAGGAUGCAGACCAGACUGUGGUUCCACAGAGAGAUCCUGCAACAAUUUACAAGAAUAAGAACAGGAAAGUGAGUCAUCUGCAAGUUGCAUAUCGACCGCAAACGCAGACCCGGAUGCUAAAUUUUUGUCAGAGAAAAAAACCUCGUUGUCGUUCGGAUUAGCAGAGUGGCAGUUUGUUCUUCCCAAUUGUCAGAGGUGCUUGGAGGGGAAGCAGAGCAAGAUGCACUAUUGGUCAUGUGCUUGCUGAAGAGGGGAAUCCAUCUUGUGAGUGCUUGGAUUCAUCAGACAGCAGUUUCUACUGCACUGUGUUGCAAUGCCUGGGGGAGGUUUCAACUUUGAUGUGAUCAGCCUGGCAUAGAUUUAAACACAGACUUGUCAGCAUUCAAGAUUGGAGGAUUUGAGCUGAGUGAAGAUGGAGGAAGCCAUGCUUGAGUUACUGAUGAAUGAACUGGUUGUAGAGACCCUUGCCAGAAAAGAACUGAGAACCUUGGUUAUUUCAGAAGCCUGUGGGUAGCAAAUUACAGCACCUGAGAAAUCAUUGGCUCAUUUCUCUUUCUUCGACACUCAUACGACUGGAUGAUAAUCUCACUGCUUAGAGAAAAAACGAUGUUACUUGCAGGGUAAAUAUCAGACAACAUCAGAUUGCCCAACAAAAAUGCUACACUGUGAAGUAGACACAAUGAGCUGACUGUCACUCAUUAGGGAACCCAAUUGCUGUUCAAUCCAAACUGUAAGCAGGAGAGAUGAGUUCAUGCAUCUUGAAAACCAUCAUGCACCACCAUAAUCUACCAACCAUACAUCAAUCAGAUUUAAGUUGGCCUUGACAAUGAACAGAAGCAGGGGCAUCCAAUGUUGUUGACACAGUUAAAAUGUGCACACCAAAAGGGCACUCACUAUUUCAUGAUACAACAAAUUAGAGAGGAGAGAAUACUAAAAAGAUAUAAAGAGUUCUUCGCUAUGAUGAAUUACCAGAUCACAGAGUGAAUGGAGAACAUCGGCGUUUGAUGCUUCGAUGACAACAUAAUGUCACGAGAUAAACACCAAAGUCCGAUUCAACUAUGUCUAAGUAAACCCAUUGAUAUUUGAACUCUCCUGUUGAUCAAAAUUUCCACUGUGGAAUGAGGUACAUCCAUCAUCUUCCUUUUUAAGAGGAUCAAAAAGAAAUGAGAGGCCUCACUAGUACAAAGACUAAAGACCAGAGUAGGCAAAACAAGUAUUUUCAAAUGCAAAUAAUUGCCCCUUGCUGCAUUUGUGAAAAAAUGGGAUAGGCUAUGAACUAUGAGUGCUACAGCACAGAUGUAGAAGUUGCUCCUAAGUGUAUAUUUACACAGAUGAAGAAAAAAAAAUUGAACAAAAACAAGGGGAUUCCUGCACUAAUCUUAUGUGAAGCAACUGGUUGUGUCGGUCUUGAUCACCCUGGUAUUGUAAGAACCACAAAAACCACAUUUGUGGUAAAGCCAGUGAAAGCGAUAUGUUCCCUUUUUGCCACAGUCGUUACAUAGUAUGUCCUGGGUAUUACGAAAUAGCAAUUAUUUCAGUAUUAUGUAGGGUCUCAAGAUAGUUGUUUGAUACCUGACAUCGAUCCCGGUACUCUUCAGGAAGCUCUUCAGCAGCCAACAAGGCAUCAAUCAUGCCAAAG
rnacentral:lncRNA from 1 species